rnacentral:misc_RNA from 1 species
AGGGAUCAUUACCAAACCUGGUGAAAGUCAGUGAGAAAUCACUAACUUGAUCCGAUCGAGCGAGAGUUUUCGGACCCUCUCUUAGUGGUUUUCGGAAUCACUGCUCGUGGUGUCUCUCGUAGAUGCGCGACGAGUAAGUCCCCUCUCUUGACUGAGAACGGGCAAGCAAACAUAGUACUCCUCAAAACACAAAUACAACCAAACAUGAUACAACUGUUACCGGUGGAUCACUUGGUUGGU